rnacentral:sRNA from 1 species
CCACUAUCUACAUACACCAGAGCCAGUAAUCGGUUAAAUUUCGGUUAUUGGGGAUCUUUGUGACACCGCUAAUUCUUCGAACGACUUUUUCUUUAAAUCUCACCCAAUAAGCAUUCAUUGAUGUACAGAUUUGGAGAGCGUUAUCACUGUCAUAUUUUCAGGUUUGGAGACAAUUCGCAGUGGUAAUAAGUCUAGAAGUAUUGAGUCUACAGUCCGCAAUACACACGUCUAUUUAAGAAACCAAUCGUAGAAAUGAGGAUAUGGAAUUGGACGUUUUUCGCGCCACUGUGCCCCCCGUGCUGGGAAAAAGUUUAGAAGAGGCCAUUAUUGCAAAGUUAGCAACAGCUCCGCCGACUACUGAUACCAAUAAUAACGACUUAUAAUUAAUGACAGAAAAAGUAGUUUUUUUGAUGAUCGCCCAACCGUUGAGAAUAUCCCCCACCUCGCCGCUCCAAAAAGGGGUCCCCAAAUGAUGUGGACUGGCUUGUAGAUGUGCCCAUAUCCCUGGCAGAAUCGUGAUAUGCAUGCUCAUUCUCGUACUUCAGCCCACUUUGCCCCUUUACUCCUAUAACACCAACUUUGCACCCCGGUAACUGGGUUGGAUGUUGGUUUGACCGCCCUUUAAUACUAAGUUUAUGGUGAAUUGUAAUUUUUAUAACGAACCGCUCCGCUGCGCCUUCUUUUACUUUAUAUGGAACAAAAUUUUUCUU